rnacentral:lncRNA from 1 species
GGGUAGAAGGACCCCAAAGGUUUGAAGGAUCCCCAAAGAGUAGAAGGACUCCCCAAGGGUAGAAGGACCCCCAAAGGGUUGAGGGACCCUCAAAGGUUAGAAGGAUCCCCAAGGGUAGAAGGACCCCCAAAGGGUAGAAGGACCCCCAAAGGUAGAAGGAACCCCAAGGGUAGAAGGGCCCCUAAAGAGUAGAAGGACCCCCAAAGUGUAGAAGGACCCCCAAAAGGGUAGAAGGACCCCCAAGGUUAGAAGGACUCCCAAAGGGUAGAAGGACCUCCAGGGAAGAAGGACCCCCCAAGGACAGAAGGACCCCUAAGGGUAGAAAGACCCAGAAAGGGUAGAAGGACCCCCCAAAGGUAGAAGGACCCCCAAAGAGUAGAAGGACCCCCAAAGGGUAGAAGGACCCCUAAAGGGUAGAAACACCCUCAAGGGUAGAAGGACCCCCAAAGGGUUGAGGGACCCCCAAUAGUAGAAGGUCCCCCAAGGUCAGAAGGACCCCCAAAAGGUAGGAGAACUCCCCAAGGGUAGAAGGACCCCCAGUGGUAGAAAGACCCCCAAAGGGUAGAAGGAACCCCAAAGGUUAGAGGGACACCCAAAGGAUAGAAGGACCCCCAAUGGUAGAGGGACCCCCAAAGGGUUGAGGGACCCCCAAGGGGUAGAAGGACCCCCAAAGAGUAGAAAGACCCCCAAAGGGUAGAAGGACCCCCAAAAGGGUAGAAGGACCCCCAAAGGGUAGAAGGAGCCCGAAAGGAUAGAAGGACCCCCAAGGGUAGAAGGACCCCCAGUGGUAGAAAGACCCCCAAAGGGUAGAAGGACCCCCAAAGGUAGAAGGACCCCCAAAGGGUUGAGGGACCCCCAAAGGGUAGAAGGAGCCCGAAAGGGUAGAAGGACUCCCAAAGGUUAGAAGGUCCCCCAAAGGGUUGAGGGACCCCCAAAGGGUAGAAGGACCCCCAAGGUUAGAAGGACCCCCAAUGGUAGAGGGACCCCCAAAGUGUUGAGGGACCCCCAAGGGUAGAAGGACCCCUAAGGGUAGAAGGACCCCCAAAAGGGCAGAAGGACCCCCAAAGGGCAGAAGGACCCCCAAAGGUAGAGGGACCCCCAAGGUUAGAAGGACCCCCAAAAGAUAGAAGGACCCCCAGUAGUAGAAGGACCCCAAAAGGGUAGAAGGAUUUUGGGGUUAAAUGGGGGAUUUUCGAGGAGAAAAUGUAUGAUUUUGGGUUAAAUGGGGGAUUUUUGAAGGGAAAAUGGGUGAUUUUGGGGUUAAAUGGGG